UCAUGACCUGAGCUGAAAUCAAGAGUCAGUCAGUCGCUUAUCCUACUGAGCCACCCAAGGUGCCCCUAAAGCUAUAACUUUCUUUUGGGUACUGAUUUGGCCAUGUCCCACAAUUUUGCCUUGUGUGGUUUAUAUCAGUCAGUUUUAAUAUUUAAUAUCUUUUGUAAUUUCCAUUUUAACCCAUGAGGUAUUUAGCUUCCUAACAUAGGAUUCCUUUUAACUGACCUUUAAUAUCUACUUUACUGCAUUUUGGUCAGAGAAUUUAGUCUGAAUGAAAUUGACCCUUUGGAAUCUAGUUACACUUUUAAACCUAACACAUGAUCUAUUUUCAUGUGUGUGUAUGUGCACUCUCAAGUAUCUAUUCUGUUUGGUAUAGAGUUUUGAAUAUUUAUAUAAUAAUAAAGUAUAUUAAUAUUUUGACUUUUUCAGGCUUCUUAUAUCCCUGCUUAAUAUUUCCCCCUCAGUUCUAUGAGUUGUUACUUAAGAAAUUUUGAGGAUGUGCUUUCAGGAUCAUAUAUACCUCAUAUAUGUUUAUGAUGAGUACUAUAUAAUUUUCUGCUGUUCCUUUCACUGGUAUUAAUGUCUAUAUUUGUCCCUUGUAUUUUUUGACUUGAAAUCUUUUUUUGAUGGGUAUUAAGAUUGCUAUCUCAACUUUAUUUUGGUCCACAGUUGCCUGAUACAUCUUUUUUCAUUCUUUUAUUUUUUACUUUUCUGUGUCUUUUUGCUUUGAAGUAUCUUUUGUUAGUUGCAUGUUAUUGAAUUUUAUUUUGUUUUUCUAAUCCAGGCUGAAUGUCUGUCUUUUUAACUGUGAGUUUUAACAUGUUUACAUUCAUUGUAAUUCCUACUAUAUUAAGAUUUACACCUGCCAUCUUCUCUCAUAUCUGUUGAGUGUGGUUAUAUGACCACAACCUCUGGAGUCCCAGCAAGAAUCCUAACGUCUAACAGCUCUGUAACCAAGACAGGUCCCCUAAAACUAAUCCCAACAAACCCAUCUAAAGGAAAACAGCAACAACAACAGUACCACCGCCUUUUAUAGCUCUCUAUCUGGAGUUUCGAGUUUGGGGCAUAAAGGAACUACUUUUGCGGGAGUAAUUUUCUGGGCUAGAACAGCAUACUAAAAAAUAAACUGACCCAGAUAUUAACCAAUAAAUGAUUAAAAUGACUCCAGGCUCUCCCAAUAGAAAAAUCUGCCUAAGACUAGGAGAUCAAGAUGGGAAAGCUCAGUAAACCUUCUUGGUCAGCAUCCAUGUUCUUAGAUACAGACAAUAAUAUAACCCAUUGCUUUCAGACUUUAAUAUCAUUUCUCUAGUCUUCUCAUUCACAGGUUAAAACUACCUUUCCAGAUAUUUCAACUAAGUCACCAGUUUCCAAGGGCAUUUGCCACCUACGGAAAACAUCAGAUUCGAGUAUACCAGAUGUCCUUGCAACUCAUCCCACCACAAAAUUUGCUCCACCAGCGGACAACAAAGGCAACCACUGUGUUUCUUUCCAUUACCAAGUAGAUAUAAUAUCCCUGCCAACAAGACAGAAUACACAAAGUGUCUCCUUGCAGUAUCACAACCAGUUGAGACCACGCUAAGAAAGUCAGCUUGCCUGGAGGAAGACCCCUUCUCUUCUUGGGUAGACACAGUUUGAAGGAGAAACUCUGACCUGUGCCACUGAACCCCCAAAAGACUCAGGGAUUUGAAGCACCCUGGGAGAUGGGAGUGAGGAGCAAAGUUGAAACACAGGAGGCUACUGGAGAGUGUGUGUCACCAAAACAAAGGACUAAAUCUAAAGAAGAAGGCUUGGCAUCCUGAAGACAAGAUCUCACAAAGGAAUGCAAUGAAGGAAAGUCAGGAUGGCUACCAUGUCAAGUAAGUAAGGUGGGGGUCUCAGGAAGUAGGGCUCUAGGAAACUGGGAACCAGUGUUUGAGUACAUGGAAAAUGCAGAAAGGAGUGAGUCAGAUGUUAGGACAUUAGAGGAAACAAAAAGGAUAAGUACAUGGGAUACUUGGUUAAUGUUCAAAUGAGGCAAUUAGAAGUACCCCAAUACACAUUUUUGGAUUUUGGAUUUUGGACACAUUCCAGGGUGUCACUGUGUCACGAAAAUAAAUCUCAAAUUUUAUUUCUUAAAAUGCAGUUAUUUUAUUACAAUUUUAGUCAGAAUUUAGAAGUUUGGCAUUAAAAAUGUAGUAUUAAAAUUGUAGUCAUGUCAGUAAUUAUAUGGUUUCUUCAGGUAUCAUACUCCAUAAUUGCAACAGAUGCACCAAUAAGACAUGCACUGCAGUCUUUUUCAGAAAAAAAAUUACAGUAAAACCUUUGUUUGCGAGCAUAAUUGGUUCCAGAAACAUGCUUGUAAUCCAAAGUACUCACAUAUCAAAGCGAAUUUCAAGAACCAUUGGCUCAGUUGUGAUCAUGUGACACUCAGUGUCACGUACUACUCAGAUUGCGAGAUAUCACUCAUUGAUCAAGUUAAAAUUUUUUAGAAAUGUUUGCUUGUCUUGUGGAACACUCACAGACCAAAUUACUCUCAAUCCAAGGUUUUACUGUAUUAUAACUUGUUUUGCAAAAAGAACUUUGUCCCUUCCUUAGGCAAACCUCAAAAUUUUCUUACUAACAGAAAUGAUACAUAGUCUAUAGCAGUAGGGUGAAUAGCAUUUUCAUGUAAAUUUUAGCCUCUGUUGUUUCAAAAGCGUGCUACUUUAAAAAUAAUAUUUUGAAUUUUCAUGUUAUUUUUCAUCUUCCAUACUGUUUUUGCUAUCAAGAUAUAGUUAUAUCC